rnacentral:misc_RNA from 1 species
UUGGAAUUUUGGGAUUCAGUUUGUCGACAUAUGGAUACUUCAGGGUUGGGAGGGCGGUUUUUGUCAGGUCCAACCAGUGGAUUAUUAGACCUUGAAUCGCCAAUUCAUCGUCGAAAUCAUAUGAAUUUAAUGGGUGGGCUUGAUAAUGAUCAUCAAACCAUGGGGCUAAUGGAAGUGAAAGGUUCAAUCCCAAAAGGAUAUUCAGCAAAUUUCAAUAAAGGGAAAGCACUUAGCCCUCUUGAUGCCACAAAUAAUGGCAAUGCGAGUGAAGAUGAUGAGCCAAGCUUUACAGACGACGGGAAUGGUGAGAGCACUAGUGGGGCUAAGAGUAAGAAUGGAUCCCCAUGGCAGCGAAUGAAA